rnacentral:rRNA from 1 species
UACAGAGGUCCCAAGCGUUGUUCGGAUUCAUUGGGCGUAAAGGGCGCGUAGGCGGCGGGGUAAGUCGGGUGUGAAAUCUCAGGGCUCAACCCUGAAACUGCACUUGAUACUGCUCUGCUUGAGGACUGGAGAGGAGACUGGAAUUCACGGUGUAGCAGUGAAAUGCGUAGAUAUCGUGAGGAAGACCAGUGGCGAAGGCGGGUCUCUGGACAGUUCCUGACGCUGAGGCGCGAAGGCCAGGGGAGCAAACGGG